UAGAGUAUAGCCAAGUGGUAAGGCAUCGGUUUUUAGUACCGGCAUGCAAAGGUUUGAAUCCUUUUUCUCAUG
rfam:Cucumis melo, WGS project CAJI01000000 data, contig: 04748